GACGAACGCUGGCGGCGUGCUUAACACAUGCAAGUCGAACGGAAAGGCCCUGCUUUUGUGGGGUGCUCGAGUGGCGAACGGGUGAGUAACACGUGAGUAACCUGCCCUUGACUUUGGGAUAACUUCAGGAAACUGGGGCUAAUACCGGAUAGGAGCUCCUGCUGCAUGGUGGGGGUUGGAAAGUUUCGGCGGUUGGGGAUGGACUCGCGGCUUAUCAGCUUGUUGGUGGGGUAGUGGCUUACCAAGGCUUUGACGGGUAGCCGGCCUGAGAGGGUGACCGGCCACAUUGGGACUGAGAUACGGCCCAGACUCCUACGGGAGGCAGCAGUGGGGAAUAUUGCACAAUGGGCGGAAGCCUGAUGCAGCAACGCCGCGUGCGGGAUGACGGCUUUCGGGUUGUAAACCGCUUUCGACUGUGACGAAGCGUGAGUGACGGUAAUGGGUAAAGAAGCACCGGCUAACUACGUG
rnacentral:rRNA from 1 species